ensembl:snoRNA small nucleolar RNA U6-53/MBII-28
UUCCAGUGAUGAGCCAGCCAUGCUAAUACCGAUGCACCAGUCUGUCUGGGUGCAAGUGAGUUAACUUAUCUUCUCACACUUGCAGUGUGCUCUGAGGAAA